rnacentral:lncRNA from 1 species
AUAGAAGAUUGAUGGGAAAUGUGUGGUUAAAAAAUAAGGAAAAAUUAUGAAUGUGCAUGUAAUAUUAUUUUAUUGAAAAAUGUGUGGUUGAAAAAAAGAGAGAAAUGUAUUUUGAAAAAAGUGGAAAUCAAACAAGGGCUUCAUCUUUCAGACUGUAGCCUUGUUUAAUUUGAAACCUAGUGAAGCUUCAUAUAAUUGAGUUUAAUAGAAGCUCGUAGAUUGGAAACACCAUGCCCAAACACACUGACCACAUCAAUUAGGAUUUCAGAUAAUAUAGUUUCUUAUUUAAAAAGUUCCCCUAAAUCUUUAGAUAGGUAAUCUGUGUAAAACAAGCCAUAUAUUUCCAGGUUAGAAUUCAGAAUGCCAACAGAAGAAAAGAAGUUGGAUUAAAGAUAUCAAAAGGACAAUAAACAGUUCAGCAAAUCAUGGAAAUAAGAAGUCUACUCCAUGAAGAUCAUUACCUGUGCAACCAGAUGACAAGAGCGAAUAAAUGUGCCAAAAGUGAUAAAAAUCUAUGACAGAACUACACAUUAAGGUAAUCAAUAACUUAUAAUGUAAUAAUAAUGAGACAGGAUGCAUAUAGAGAUUAAACAAAAUCAGCUUUAACAUGAAACAAAAAAUUGCUGGAAGAUGAAAAAGUGCAACACUGAUAAUUACCAAAAGUAAGCAUAAACAUCUAGUUAGGAUAAAUUCAUGGCAUGCGAAGUAGUGCUUGCUUUCAUAAUUGGAACCAUUCAAAGAGUCAUAACAAUUAUACAAUAACUUGACAAGAGUGAUAAGCAGCCAAAACAAUUAGUCAGAUUUACUACAUGUGACCCAACAUGAACUCUGAAACAGGUGAAAGAAGUAUAUGUAAGCAAGCUGCCAAAAGGAUUUCUUCCUUAGCUAAAAGAUAUUAUAUAUUAAACAAGUUUCAUUUAUGGCAGAAAUGAGGAAAAAAGGGAAAAGAAAAGAUGAAUCGCAACAAUCACAAGGAAAGUUAGGUAAGUUUCACACAGCAAAAUGUUUCUUACGUGUACAGUUUGCAUUUGAUGUAAGUUUUCCAUCGCCCUUUGCCUAGACUGCAAGAUAGGUAGAAAGUAAGUUAAGACUUCGCUUAUGAUUAAAGAAAAAAUAAUAGAUAAAACAAGAGAGACAGCAUUUCAUUAGGUUUAUUGAAACUUUCACAAAGUAAUGUAAGAAAUUAAAAUAGUUAUUUUCUUUCUAAGCAUUCACCUAAUACAUGAUGUCUUUGACAAAGAUUCUUAGCCGCACUAAUUAUGAGGCUAAGUAUUGAAAGCUAAACAAUAUAUCCACUUUGCAUCUCUCACUUAGAUCCAAGACAAUUCAUAUUAGCACAUUUAAUUCGACGCAGGAUAUUAUGGAACAAUUGUGGGAGAAGGAGAAGGAGAAGGAGAAAGAAUAGAUGAAGAAGGAAAGAAGAAGAGGGAGAUACUAAAGAGAACUAAGAAGCACCAACAUAAACACUGGUGUCU